ensembl:misc_RNA Metazoa_SRP Metazoan signal recognition particle RNA
GCCGGGCGCGGUGGCGCACGCCUGUAGUCCCAGCUGCCGGGGAGGCUGAGCCCGACGGAUCGCUUGAGCCCAGGAGUUCUGGGCUGCCGUGCGCUGUGCCGAGCGGGCGUCCAAGCUAAGGCCGCCAUCAAUAUGGUGACCCGCGGGGAGCUGCGGGACACCAGGUUGACUAAGGAGGGGUGAACCGGCCCAGGUCGGAGACGGAGCAGGUCAAAGCUCCCGUGGCGGUCAGUAGCGGGAUCGCGCCUGUGAAUAGCCACGCCAGCGUAGCCUGGGCAAUACAGAGACACGCGGGCUCCCUU